UACGGGGGGAGCAAGCGUUGUUCGGAUUUACUGGGCGUAAAGGGCGGGUAGGCGGCCACCGCAAGUCAGUUGUGAAAUCUCCGGGCUUAACCCGGAAAGGUCAACUGAUACUGCGGGGCUAGAGUGCAGAAGGGGCAACUGGAAUUCUCGGUGUAGCGGUGAAAUGCGUAGAUAUCGAGAGGAACACCUGCGGCGAAGGCGGGUAGCUGGGCCGACACUGACGCUGAGGCGCGAAAGCCAGGGGAGCGAACGGG
rnacentral:rRNA from 1 species